rnacentral:rRNA from 1 species
GACGUAGGGCGCGAGCGUUGUCCGGAUUUAUUGGGCGUAAAGAGCUCGUAGGCGGCUUGUCGCGUCGUCCGUGAAAACCUGCAGCUCAACUGCAGGCUUGCGGUCGAUACGGGCAGGCUAGAGUUCGGUGAGGGAGACUGGAAUUCCUGGUGUGAGCGGUGAAAUGCGCAGAUAUCAGGAGGAACACCGGUGGUGUAGACGGCUUACUGGACCACGACUGACACUGAGGCACGAAAGCGUGGGUAGCAAACAG